GACGAACGCUGGCGGCGUGCCUAAUACAUGCAAGUCGAACGCAGUGGCGGACGGGUGAGUAACACGUGGGUAACUACCCAUCAGAGGGGGAUAACUAUUGGAAACGAUAGCUAAUACCGCAUACUAGUAGAUGGACCUGCGUUGUAUUAGGUAGUAGGUAGGGUAAUGGCCUACCUAGGCAACGAUACAUAGCCGAGCUGAGAGGGGUAUCGGCAACAAUGGGACUGAGACCAGGCCCAGACUCCUACGGGAGGCAACAGUAGGGAAUCUGCGGCAAUGGGGGGAACCCUGACCGAGCAACGCCGCGUGAGUGAAGAAGGUUUUCGGAUCGUAAAGCUCUGUUGUUAAGGAAGCGGUACUUAACCAGAAAGGGACGGCUAACUACGUGCCAGCAGCCGCGGUAAUUC
rnacentral:rRNA from 1 species